rnacentral:lncRNA from 1 species
UGAAAAUGUGAUAAUUUGCUUUGCUGGGAGCCCACAUUUUGAGCUCAGGAUGUGUUUAAACUGUGAUACUGGAGCUCUCCGUGGUAACACUCUCUUCCUUGCUCAUGAAAUGAGCAAGAACCUACAUACAUUAGUGAAAUUCAUUUUCUCUCGCUUCCAUGCAGAUUCUUACAGAUUGCGUUUGCUGCUCCUUUUCUUUGCAAAAACGAAAGCCUACAACGGAUGGUGAAGCCUUACAUGUGCAUCUGUUGCAGAGCUCCCCAGGUCGCAACAGUAGCUUCUGCUUCAACUCUUACCACGUGGAAGAGACAGGCCUGAGAGCUGUCCGAUUGCUGAGAAGAGCUGUGCCUGGAGGACAGUAGAAGGAGACCUGCGGGAGCACCCACUCCGUCACUGGGACAGGUUGGGGUUCAGGUCUUGCCACAGAGCCUCACUGCCACCGUGGUGGGCUGCCGGUGGCUGCUUCUGGUUCCACUUUCUGCUGGCAUGCAAGACUCCAGGCAAGACCCUUGCCUCCCAUUGGUGGCCCAGGGGUGUCAUGCUACAGGCCUCUCAGGGCCAGUCAGGGAAGGCAAUGCCCCACUGAUGAAUCCCAUCAAUGGAAGAUGAGGCCAGGAGGCACACUUUCGUCCCCUCUCCAGCUGGGACAGGCACUUGUGUCUAGAAAGUUGUCCACAACAUGGAAUGGGUUUUGGAAAGGCCUUGGCCUGGGG